UUUGUCUGUGAUCUUCUGGACAUCACCCGGAAGGUGGAGCUCUGGCACCAGUGUCUGCCCCGUGUGACGCCAUUCUUCGCAAUAAAGGCUUGCGGAGACCCUGUGGUGCUGGCGGAGUUGAACGCCCAGAACGUCAACUUCGACUGCUCAAAUAAUACAGAGAUACAGA
rnacentral:lncRNA from 1 species